rnacentral:snRNA from 1 species
GUUUUUUUCAGCAGUACGUAAACUAAAGUUGGAAGAAGACUGAAGGUUAAUGUGGCCCUUGAGCAAGGAUAACAUGUAAAUUUGUGAACUAUUUUAUUUUUUU